UCAUGGCUCCUGGUCAUUGUUAGGAUAUAAACUGAGCCAGCCAAAAUUGUUCCUUCACUCACAUGUCUUCUGUCCUCAGAAUGGUGCCUGGCACAGCCCUGACUCCAAUAAAUGGGUGAACUAAUAAAUGAAUAUCUGAGCUCAAGAAGAGCUGAACUUCCCUGGAGAGUUAGGACUCCCUAGAAUGCUCAAGGCCAUCACAUUUGGAAAGACUCUUUCAAAAAAGUUAACAUUCACAAGUUCCAGGCAUUUGACAAGGGCAGCCUUUGGCUAUCCAUUUUUCCAUCUAGCACAAAGGCUCUGAGUAAGACUCAAUGAAUUCUCUGAGAUGACAAGCUCUUGAGGAGAAGAGAAUGCGGUAUUCA